AUGAUGACAUCCUAUAGACGCCAUUCGAGGAUCACCGGGAGAUUAUCCAGUUCAAAUCUAUUUCACUGUACUCUGAGUGGUUGGCAUGUGGGAUUGAUACUAUUGUCUGGUAUCUACCGGAGCGAUGCAUGCAAUAAUUUUUCUAUGUGCAGACCAUAUACCCAAAUCUCCCUUUCAGGCUGCUCCCGACACUAUUGUUUGUCGGGAGCUCGAUGGCAUCUUCCAGGAUUGGGAGAAUCAUAUGGUGUCAGAUGA